rnacentral:lncRNA from 1 species
GCUAUGUACAUAACAGCAAUUUAGUUAAAUUAAGGAUGGCCUGUAAUGUUUUGCAAGUCAACUCCAGUCCAUAUAUUUGGCAUGAACCAUUCUUUGGUUCUUCGUUUGUCAUUUACUGUGGUUAUGGGGACCAUGGUACUCUUCAAAAGUUUCAAAAUGUAUUUAGCAGUUGCCAAUAUCAUACACGGAAUUACUCAUAAUGUACUUUAUGUUUAGGAGAUGCAACUAGAAGAGCCCAGGAGACCCGCAUCCACAUCAGAUAUAAAUAGGCCAUCGUCAAGAUCAUCUAGGAGAGGCCCUGGGCAGUUACAACUCUAAUGGUUAAAGCUGUCAGCAUUUUAGUCAAGCCAGAUAUAUACUGAUAUCAGCAAAUGUGGCAGUUGUGGGUGAGAUGUGUUAUAAUUUGUAAAAUUGUAUAUCGUUGUAGUCUCUUUUAUUAAACUGAUGGAGGUUGGGAUGGUGAAGAUUGGCUUUGGAUGACGAGAAAGCUUGGGUCUACCCAACCUAUUCUUUUUUCUUUUGUAAACGGGAUAAUGCCCAUGUGGUUGUGUUAUUUUUUUAUUGGAAACCAUAUGGGCUAGAGGGAGAUAUUAAAUUUAGAAAAUCCAGUUUGUUUUUUUUUUCUUUUCUUUAUUUUCCCCUUCAGCUAUUAAGCAGCUUCAUAAAAUAAGCAAAUCAGCUAAUUCAUGUACACAUUAGUAUUUUGGGGGUGAGUGAUGCCUGUAUUAUUUAUUGCUUAAUGAUGGGUCGGCUUUUGUACUCUCUCUCUCUCUCUCUCUCUCUCUCUCUCUCUCUCUCUCUCUCUCCAU